GAUGAACGCUAGCUACAGGCUUAACACAUGCAAGUCGAGGGGAAACGACAUCGAAAGCUUGCUUUUGAUGGGCGUCGACCGGCGCACGGGUGAGUAACGCGUAUCCAACCUGCCCAUCACUUGGGGAUAACCUUGCGAAAGUAAGACUAAUACCCAAUGAUAUCUCUAGAAGACAUCUGAAAGAGAUUAAAGAUUUAUCGGUGAUGGAUGGGGAUGCGUCUGAUUAGCUUGUUGGCGGGGUAACGGCCCACCAAGGCAACGAUCAGUAGGGGUUCUGAGAGGAAGGUCCCCCACAUUGGAACUGAGACACGGUCCAAACUCCUACGGGAGGCAGCAGUGAGGAAUAUUGGUCAAUGGGCGAGAGCCUGAACCAGCCAAGUAGCGUGCAGGAAGACGGCCCUAUGGGUUGUAAACUGCUUUUAUAAGGGAAUAAAGUGAGAGUCGGGACUCUUUUCGUAUGUACCUUAUGAAUAAGGACCGGCUAAUUCCGUG
rnacentral:rRNA from 1 species